GGGGGUGUAAAGGUUUCGACGGGGGUGUAGAACCAGGAUAAGCGAGCCGCAGUUGCCAGGCUGCGUUAAAAAUGGCACGUUAAAUAUAAACGCAAAAAAUAACAACAAUUACGCAUACGCUGCAUAGUUCAGCACCGCAAUAGGCGGUCGCGUCGUCGGACUUAAUUUACCUGUAGGUUAAGACCCCGGCGUCAAUUAUACAGGGAAACUCUGUGCCUGCGCCCGGAAGCACAGGGGAACAACGGGAUUGCGGAAGUUGUAGCCUGCCGACAGGCGACCUCGCUCGUGAAAUCUAAAUUAUCGGCUUCGCUCGGAGAAAGUCCUGCGGAAAUGCUUUCGGACAGGAGUUCGACUCUCCUCAUCUCCACCA
rnacentral:tmRNA from 1 species